rnacentral:lncRNA from 1 species
AUUGAUUGAUCCGGCCACUAAAGAUUCGAUUAGGGGCUUGAAAUGACAAAAAUACCCCUAAAUAUUUUGACUGUUCAAGAAGGAUAGCGACGACAAAAAGGUAACAUACCUAACCCUAAUCGACCAUGUACAAAUAGCCCUUUUAAAUCGAAAUCAGCCACUCUAACCCUAGUCUCUCUGUCUAUCUCCUCUGUAUUUUCUCAGCCUUCUUACUACUCUCUCCCGACGAUGGCAACGGCAUCGUGGCAGCCUUCUCCCUCUUUUUUCCUUCUUUUCUCCCCUUAUCCUUUUGGAAGGGGUAGCGCCGCUGCUGCCGCCUUCCUCUCCCUAUUCUUCUUUUCUUUUAUUUCUCCUUCCUCUAGCAUUAACGGCAGCGAAAGCACUGCCACCUCUUUCCUCAUCUUUGUUCUCCAACGACAACGGUGGUUGCGAAAGCGC